rnacentral:rRNA from 1 species
AGCAGCCGCGGUAAUUCCAGCUCCAAUAGCGUAUAUUAAAGUUGUUGCAGUUAAAAAGCUCGUAGUUGAAUUUCGGGGUUAGUAAGUUGGUCGUGCCACUGGUAUGUACUGGCUUUACUGAUUCCUCCUUCUUGUAGAACCGUAAUGCCAUUAAGUUGGUGUUGCGGGGAAACAGGACUGUUACUUUGAAAAAAUUAGAGUGUUUAAAGCAAGCUAACGCUUGAAUACAUUAGCAUGGAAUAAUGAAAUAGGACGUUCGAUCCUAUUUUGUUGGUUUCUAGGAUUGACGUAAUGAUUAAUAGGGAUAGUUGGGGGCAUUAGUAUUCAAUUGUCAGAGGUGAAAUUCUUGGAUUUAUUGAAGACUAACUACUGCGAAAGCAUUUGCCAAGGAUGUUUUCAUUAAUCAAGAACGAAAGUUAGGGGAUCGAAGACGAUCAGAUACCGUCGUAGUCUUAACCAUAAACUAUGCCGACUAGGGAUCGGAUGAUGUUAAUUUAUAAUGACUCAUUCGGCGCCUUAC